GAAGCAGCGGACGUGCAACAUAAGUUGCGUCCGUCUCCUCUGUAACCUGUGGCACAUUGGCAAGAAAACAGCUGUCCUUCACCUGGCACACAUCGAGCCGUUGUAUCACAGUCGUGAUUUCCAGAGUAACAGGGGUUUACGUUUUCUGGCUCGGGAUCUACAGCUGUGAAAGGAUGAAAAGGCAAAUUAAUCCACAAAAAAUAAGCUGAUUCAU
rnacentral:lncRNA from 1 species